rnacentral:pre_miRNA from 1 species
UUUUUAAUCCCUGAAGUUUACAUAUUAAUUUUUAAAAUGUUGCCGCUAUUAAAUUCUUUUAACCUUUUUAGUGAAAAAAAAUUAGCAGUAAGAAUAUUUGGGAAUUAAAAUGUAAACUUUGGACUAAAA